rfam:Halothece sp. PCC 7418, complete genome.
GUCAGCACGUCUUUCUAGAAGGAACCCACUUCGGGCUUCUCCCUUCUAGCUAGCUGACCCGCCUAAGUCCUGCGAGGACUACGUUUAGGGGAAGCGUUAAAGUUCCUACCUUGUGGGGGCGUAGCCACCCGCAAGCUCUAGAACCAAACAGUUAAACAGUCCUAGAAAUAGAUAAGACAGUGCUGCUUGGAAACACCGCCCUUAAACCUUGGCUAGGCUAACUUUAC